GUUAUUAAAGUUCACAACGGUAAAAGAUGAGCAUGCGUCCCAUUAGGUUAGUGGUAAGGUAACGGCUUACCAAGGCUACGAUGGGUAGGGGUCCUGAGAGGGAGAUCCCCCACACUGGUACUGAGACACGGACCAGACUCCUACGGGAGGCAGCAGUGAGGAAUAUUGGACAAUGGGCGCAAGCCUGAUCCAGCCAUGCCGCGUGCAGGAUGACGGUCCUAUGGAUUGUAAACUGCUUUUGUACGAGAAGAAACACCUCUACGUGUAGAGACUUGACGGUAUCGUAAGAAUAAGGAUCGGCUAACUCCGUGCCAGCAGCCGCGGUAAUACGGAGGAUCCAAGCGUUAUCCGGAAUCAUUGGGUUUAAAGGGUCCGUAGGCGGUUUAGUAAGUCAGUGGUGAAAGCCCAUCGCUCAACGGUGGAACGGCCAUUGAUACUGCUGAACUUGAAUUAUUAGGAAGUAACUAGAAUAUGUAGUGUAGCGGUGAAAUGCUUAGAGAUUACAUGGAAUACCAAUUGCGAAGGCAGGUUACUACUAAUGGAUUGACGCUGAUGGACGAAAGCGUGGGUAGCGAACAGGAUUAGAUACCCUGGUAGUCCACGCCGUAAACGAUGGAUACUAGCUGUUGGGAGCAAUUUCAGUGGCUAAGCGAAAG
rnacentral:rRNA from 1 species